rnacentral:rRNA from 1 species
ACGCUCGACACCUACGAGAGGCAGCAGUGGGGAAUAUUGCACAAUGGGGGAAACCCUGAUGCAGCAACGCCGCGUGAAGGAAGACGGUUUUCGGAUUGUAAACUUCUGUUCUUAGUGAAGAUAGUGACGGUAGCUAAGGAGCAAGCCACGGCUAACUACGUGCCCGACAGCCGCGGUAAUCUGAGCGGGCUGGCAAGGC